rnacentral:rRNA from 1 species
UACGUAGGGUGCGAGCGUUAAUCGGAAUUACUGGGCGUAAAGUGUGCGCAGGCGGCCGCGCAAGUCGAGUGUGAAAUCCCCGAGCUUAACUUGGGAAUUGCGCUCGAAACUACGUGGCUGGAGUGUGGCAGAGGAAGGUGGAAUUCCACGUGUAGCGGUGAAAUGCGUAGAGAUGUGGAGGAACACCGAUGGUGAAGGCAGCCUUCUGGGCCAACACUGACGCUCAUGCACGAAAGCGUGGGGAGCAAACAGG